rnacentral:snRNA from 1 species
AUGCUUGCUUAGGUAGCGUACAGACUACAAUUACAACAAUACAGAGGAGACUAGCAUGGCCCCAGUGUGAGGAUGUCACACAACUUUGUGAAGUGCUAUUUUUUUUU